UACGUAGGGGGGCGAGCGUUGUCCGGAGUUACUGGGCGUAAAGCGCACGCAGGCGGUCUGUUAAGUUUGGAGUGACAGUUGGUGGCUUAACUGCCAAAGUGCUUCGAAAACUGACAGACUUGAGGGCUUCAGAGGGACACGGAAUUCCGGGUGGAGUGGUGAAAUGCGUAGAUAUUGGAAAGACCACCGGAUGGCGAAGGCACUCUACUGGGCCAUUACUGACACUGAGAGACGAAAGCUAGGGGGAGCAAAUGGG
rnacentral:rRNA from 1 species